rnacentral:rRNA from 1 species
AAUAGAUACCCCGGUAGUCCACGCCGUAAACAAUGGACACUUGGUGUUGGAGGUAUUGACCCCUUCAGUGCCGUAGCUAACGCGUUAAGUGUCCCGCCUGGGGAGUACGGUCGCAAGAUUAAAACUCAAAGAAAUUGACGGGGGCCCGCACAAGCGGUGGAGCACGUGGUUUAAUUCGAUGCAACGCGAAAAACCUUACCUGGGUUUGAAUUGCAGUGGAAGACAGUAGAGAUAUUGUCGCCCUUCGGGGCCGCUGUGAAGGUGCUGCAUGGCUGUCGUCAGCUCGCGUCGUGAGAUGUUGGGUUAAGUCCCGCAACGAGCGCAACCCUUACCUUUAGUUGCCAGCAUUCAGUUGGGCACUCUAAAGGGACUGCCGACGUUAAGUCGGAGGAAGGUGGGGAUGACGUCAAGUCCUCAUGGCCCUUAUGUCCAGGGCUACACACGUGCUACAAUGGAUAUUACAGAGGGUUGCUAAUCCGUAAGGUAGAGCUAAUCCCACAAAAUAUUCUAAGUUCGGAUUGAGGUCUGCAACUCGACCUCA